rnacentral:rRNA from 1 species
UACGUAGGGCGCAAGCGUUGUCCGGAAUUAUUGGGCGUAAAGAGCUCGUAGGCGGUUUGUCGCGUCUGCUGUGAAAACCUAAGGCUCAACCUUGGGCUUGCAGUGGGUACGGGCAGACUAGAGUGCGGUAGGGGGUGACUGGAAUUCCUGGUGUAGCGGUGGAAUGCGCAGAUAUCAGGAGGAACACCGAUGGCGAAGGCAGGUCACUGGGCCGCAACUGACGCUGGAGGAGCGGAAA